GGCCCAUUGGUCAAGAGGUCAAGACGUCACCCUCUCACGGUGAAAUCAUGGGUUCGAUUCCCGUAUGGGUCACUA
rnacentral:tRNA from 1 species